rnacentral:rRNA from 1 species
GUGUCAGCAGCCGCGGUAAUACAGAGGGUGCGAGCGUUGUCCGGAAUCACUGGGCGUAAAGGGCGCGUAGGUGGCUUGCCAAGCGUGUGGUGAAAGCCCGGAGCUCAACUCCGGGUCUGCCAUGCGAACUGGCAGGCUUGAGCACGGUAGAGGCCAAUGGAAUUCCGGGUGUAGCGGUGGAAUGCGUAGAGAUCCGGAAGAACACCGGUGGCGAAGGCGGUUGGCUGGGCCGUAGCUGACACUGAGGCGCGACAGCGUGGGGAGCAAACAGGAUUAGAUACCCCCGUAGUCC